rnacentral:rRNA from 1 species
AUUGAACGCUGGCGGCAUGCCUUACACAUGCAAGUCGAACGGUAACAGGUCUUCGGAUGCUGACGAGUGGCGAACGGGUGAGUAAUACAUCGGAACGUGCCUAGUAGUGGGGGAUAACUACUCGAAAGAGUGGCUAAUACCGCAUGAGAUCUACGGAUGAAAGCAGGGGAUCGCAAGACCUUGUGCUACUAGAGCGGCCGAUGGCGGAAUAGGUAGUUGGUGGGAUAAAAGCUUACCAAGCCGACGAUCUGUAGCGGGUCUGAGAGGACGAUCAGCCACACUGGGAAUGAGACACGGCCCAGACUCCUACGGGAGGCAGCAGUGGUGAAUUUUGGACAAUGGGCGAAAGCCUGAUCCAGCAAUGCCGCGUGCAGGAUGAAGGCCUUCGGGUUGUAAACUGCUUUUGUACGGAACGAAAAGCCCCGGGUUAAUACCCUGGGGUCAUGACGGUACCGUAAGAAUAAGCACCGGCUAACUACGUGCCAGCCGCCGCCGUAA